rnacentral:sRNA from 1 species
AGAGGCAGGAGGAUCUCUGUGAGUUCAAGACCAGCUUGGUCUACAAAAUGAGUUCCAGGGCAGGCUCUAAAGCUACACAGAGAAACCCUGUCUCAAAACAAUUUUUGUUUUGUUUUGUUUUUCGAGACAGGGUUUCUCUGUAUUGUUUUGGAGGCUGUCCUGGAACUAGCUUGGUAGACCAGGCUGGCCUCGAACUCGCAGAGAUCCGCCUGCCUCUGCCUCCCGAGUGCUGGGAUUAAAGGCGUGCGCCACCAACGCCCGGC